UAUAAACAGUAGAGUAGUAAGUAAUUGGACAUUUCAUAAAGAUUUUGUUUACUGGCAUAUGGAUGAUAUGACACAUGUAAUGUAUAUGCAGUAUUACCAACUGUAGGCAUUAGAAAUCAUGAGUCAGACCCUUAAAAGUCUUGAAAGUGUUUAAGAAAAUGCGACAAUUAACUUCUUUGGGCCCCUAGGGUAACAUGAGUCAAGCUUGCGACAAGGCUUUCUUGAGACUUUAGGAAGGAAAACUGCGGGCUUUGACUAAUUGUGUGUCUUUUAGAGUUGGAGCUUUAGGAAAAAAAAAGAAAGAAAAAAGAAAACAACAACAACAACACCAACACCCCAAGACUGGCAAUAAAAGGAUGAUUUGGCAAUGCUCUAAUAGAGCAGGAUGUCAUUAAUCUGAAAAUAAUCAUAGACUGAAUUUGUUUGUGAACAUCUGUGCGAACAUAACAUAAGCCUUGGAUAGUGAGGUUUUCUGGGUAGGACAGUUAUAUCUGCUGAUCUACAAAACAGGCUGCCUUUGCCAAAGGCAUAAACCUAAAUUUAUAGAUUGAAUUUUUUUAAUUGUUUGGAAUGACUAUUAAUAAAAUGAGAGAGAUAAACUGUUUACCAUAGUAACAGAAUUUUUCUGUGCCCCAUGAUGGAGUUGAUGAAAUCAUGCAUCGGAAGAAAAUAAGAAGUUAAAUGAGAACUCUGCGGUUUCUAUGUGAUCCCUGGAAAAUGAAACAAUAAACCACUACAUCUGUAAAGGUAGCUGCAUGUAUCAGAAACUUGGGAAGUAUUUUACUGGGAAUAUGGAGGAAAUCAGUCUGUGAAAUGAAGCUGCUCAUGGUCUAAGACUCUUGUUGUGCUCCCAGGAGUAUGACUGCUACAGGAAGGGAGAGGAACAACCUGAGCAUAAAGCCUGCAGCCACGAUGGUUGGGAUAGCAAAACCUCUUGCAAACAGUGAACAUGGAGUCAGCAGAAUCUCCAUCAAAUGAUGAUGUCUUUGUCCUCUCAAUGGGUGAUGUGCUUGCAGGUGAGAGAAGAUUUUCAUAAGGCUUCGUGUUAUGUGAGUGUCUGAAAGUUCAGGUUCACAAAAGCAUUUCUCAUAGAUCUGGAAAUCUCAGACAAUCUCUUUGUUUUUUCUGCUAGAUGAUCUCCAGCCUUGCAGAAACAUCCUGGUAGUUAAAUAUUUCCGGUUCUGAACUUUAAAGAUGAAGUCUCUGAAAAGUAUCAGAUAAUGAAAGAGAAUGACACUCCAGCUGGGACACUGCAGCUGCAUGCAAAUAUCAAAUAACUUCUUAGAGUGAGUCGUGAAAAGUUGGCCAGAAAAAAACAGUAGUCUGACACUGUUUUAGUUCACCUGCCUGGCAUCAAAACUGCUGGAUGAGUGACCCCACAUUCCUACUCCUUGUUUUGUGUUUGAGGAUGAUAUGGCUGAAGCAGGUUGACGUUACAGCUCCCAUCUCUCACAGGAUUUUUUCAAAGCUUCCAAGUGAGGUGCAAUUCAAUAGACAUAUCCAAGGAUGCUGAUUCUCACACUGGUCAGGACUUGAAAUAGCCUACAGGGCCGGGGGAGGAAGGAAGUAGGUGAUGUUUGGAGUGAUGGUGUUUGUCUCACCAAGUCACUGCUAUGUGUGGUGGAGUGUGGCUUUCCUGGAAAUGGCUGAACACCUGUCUGCGAAUGAUGCUGGUAGACAAGGGGACAAAGGAAAUUAUGAAAUAAGCAUGAUGACACACUGAGAUUGUCACAGUGGAGGCAUCUGGUCUUCGUGUCCAUUUGCUUUGUUUUCUCAGCAAUUCUAUCCAGGCUGGAGCUGCAGUCUUGCCUGCUCACAGAAACAAAACAUCACAUGUGCAGAGGGAACAGAACUGUGAACAGCCUGUACCAGAGGUCUCCUCCUUCUGCCCUGAGGUUGACUUGAUCCAUUCAUCUCAUCUUUGAGCUCAUUUCAUCAUGAACAGAUGAAGUGCUUGAAAGAACCUGUGAUGCCAGAUAAAACCAUUUUUGGAAAACUUUGUUUAGAACUCCAACUCUAGAUACUUCUUUUUGACUUGGAAGAGGGAAAGGCUUAGAUAAGAGAACUGUUUUCUGCAUGCCAAUUUUUCCCCCCAUUCCUGCAGCUUGACUCACCCAUCCAGUGAAAAGAGCAAAAGAUUAAAUCAACAAAAGUAGACAGAUCUCUCCUCCCUCUGGAUAAUUUUAUGAAAACAAUAAUGCUAUUGUUUAGGAAUUCAUUUCCUGUUCUCUCACUUUAAGUCAGUUUUUUAUAUGUGACAAAAUUAUAGUCUCAGGAGCAAAAUAGAAUAUUGUGACUGAAGUAAGUACCUGGUAAUCACUGAAACAACCACCUAGUCACAAGGAAAGUGUCACAUUUGUGAGGCACAAGAAGGUUCAUAAAAUUCAGUGUAUUAAAUGGUAUCACUGGUUGCUGUCUCAUCACCAUCCAGGAACCUCGAAGGGCUCUCUCUAUAUUUCAGAGGUAUAAAAGAAGCCAAUCUAAUGAGAUAAUGAUGUUGCAAGAGAACAUGGGUUUACAAAAUAUGCAGAAUCAUGUUUUCUAGUAAUUCUUCUGAGCUAGAAUGAGUUGGGCACUUCUGAGAAGCCUGGGUUAGGCUCGCUCUUGUCCUCAGUCCCACCACAAUCCGUGAACAGGGUGGAGCUCUCCCAGAUCAGCGCUGAGCUGGUGGGAGGGCACACACACUGUCCUGCUGCAGGGCCUGCAUUUCCAUUUAUUCUCCUUCCAUCAGCUUUACAGGGGAGUCAGAGUCACACUACAGUGUGGUUUUUCUCUUUUUUGUUCUUGAAAAAACAUGGGAUUUCUCUGAACAGAUCCUCCUUUCCCCCAGCACAGCCACAUUAUGUGUUCAGACAGUGACCACGUGGAGGAUAAAUCUGCUUCGAAAGGAAGGGCAAAGCAACAUUUUUGGUGCUGCUCUUUUCCCCAGCCUGGAACCUGUGAGAGACAGCCCACACAGGACUCAGGAGAGCCAGAGUGGCCCAGAAGCACAGGAUGGUGCUGCCAGUGCCCAGAGGCCACCACCUCACUGCCAGCCUUGGUGCACCAGCACACACGUGCUGGCAGCACUGAGGCUGAGCUCACAUGUGACACAGACAAGCUACGCUUGUCGUUCUUUUAAUGACAGUUGUUGAGUGUUAAUGAUAAAAGUCAGCUGCAUUUUCUCUCUUUUCCUCCCCAGCUAACAAGACUCAAAAUAGGGGAAGGAUUAAAAAGCAGUGAUGAGACUUGAUAUAAUUUUGCCCAUAGAGUUCAAUGAAAGAAAUAAAAGCUCGGCUUCACUUCAGCUGUAUGUAAA